UAUAACGGAGAGUUUGAUUCUGGCUCAGAACGAACGCUGGCGGCGCGUCUUAAACAUGCAAGUCGUACGGGAACCCCGGUGCUUGCAUUGGGGGGAGAGUGGCGAACGGGUGAGUAACACGUGGAUAAUCUGCCCUCGGGAUGGGGAUAACAUCGCGAAAGCGGUGCUAAUACCGAAUGAGAUGGUAGUCACACAGGUGGCAGCCAUUAAAGGUGGGGACCUUCAAGCCUACCGCCUGGGGAUGAGUCCGCGGCCCAUUAGCUUGUUGGCAGGGUAAUGGCCUACCAAGGCAACGAUGGGUAG
rnacentral:rRNA from 1 species